CGUCAAGUCCUCAUGGCCCUUAUGUCCAGGGCUACACACGUGCUACAAUGGCCGGUACAAAGGGUAGCAAGACCGCGAGGUGGAGCCAACCCAAAAAGCCAAUCCUCAGUUCGGAUUGGAGUCUGCAACUCGACUCCAUGAAGUUGGAAUCGCUAGUAAUCGCGGAUCAGCAUGCCGCGGUGAAUACGUUCCCGGGCCUU
rnacentral:rRNA from 1 species